CAGCGAAUCGCUCGGCCCACUUUUGUGAACCAAUCAGCGUCAAAAGUGGGCAGAGCGAUUCGCUGAU
ensembl:miRNA mir-1832.2 ncRNA